GAGUUUGUAUCAUGGCUCAGGAUGAACGCUAGCUACAGGCUUAACACAUGCAAGUCGAGGGGAAACGACAUCGAAAGCUUGCUUUUGAUGGGCGUCGACCGGCGCACGGGUGAGUAACGCGUAUCCAACCUGCCCACCACUUGGGGAUAACCUUGCGAAAGUAAGACUAAUACCCAAUGACGUCUCUAGAAGACAUCUGAAAGAGAUUAAAGAUUUAUCGGUGAUGGAUGGGGAUGCGUCUGAUUAGCUUGUUGGCGGGGUAACGGCCCACCAAGGCGACGAUCAGGUUAGGGGUUCUGAGAGGAACGGUCCCCCCACAUUUGGAACUGAGACACGGUCCAAACUCCUACGGGAGGCA
rnacentral:rRNA from 1 species